GUUGAAAAGAAAAUGGCAGCAACCUCUACUCCCAGAGGAAAUGCGUCAUUUGUGGCAUGGAGACCUCUGACAUUGCCAAAGAAUGGCCAUAUCUACACGAGACCCCUGGCAUCAAGACUCAUUUUAGAGAACUUACUGGUGUUGAUCUCAAUGAGAGCAUAAGUAAGCCAUGGUGAGAAAAUGUGUGAGAAUUGUGUCCUACUUCAAAUCUCUUCCUCGUGAGUAGAGGAGCAAGAUUGCCAAGACACUGUCAGAUAUUGAAACUGUCAAAGAAGCCAGAAGCCAACCUACCUGGGUAUGUUUUGCUGCUACUUAUCUUCUUCAGUGAAGAAGAGAACAAGAUGUUCCUCAACGUUAAUGAAACUUGCCUUCCAUCAGAAAUUGACUGCGCAAUGCUGCCAAGCAUACCAUGCAUCGCUGUUUGUGGGAGUUCUCCUCUAACUGCUGAAAACUUCAUGGUUUCUGUGGACCAGAUCGUCCUGAAUGGCAUUCUUACUUUCAACGAUGCCCUGGUGCCUAUUCAAGAUCAACCCAGACAAGGGGUCCAAAGUGGAGAAGAACUCAAGAAAGCAGCAUGCAAUCAGUCCAAAAGUUAUUUCUCUGAUCUCAAAAGAUUCCAAACUAUGAAUGGAGGGAGUAGCCUUGCGCACGCACACAUACAGGCACUUAAAUUCACCGACUGCAGCACGCAGUUGACAAAAAUGUUAAAACUGAAUGUUUUCACAUUAGCAUGUUGUAAGUUGCUUUUAAGUGAAUGUUUGACACAGUCUAUGUAAAGUUUGAGUUCAAGAAAUGUUUUUGCACUAGGAUCGACAUACCUUGUCAUAU
rnacentral:lncRNA from 1 species